GGUCCUUCAUUCAAUAACAUCCCUCUGAAUAUAUAACAAAAAAGAAAAAUGGUAUUUUCUCCCAGUAGGCACACUGUGUAGCCAUGUAAACAAACAGGAUGAAAGGAGGUAUUAAAAAUUUGAAAGCAUUUCAGCUGGGCUGGGAAUGGCUUACAGCCUCUAGUCAUUGUGGGAUGAAUAAAACGCUAAUGGCCUUGGGCAUCAUACAGUUAAAGGACCACUAUAGUGCCAGGAAAACACACUCAUUUUCCUCGCACUAUAGUGCC